UGCAUAUCAAUAAGCGGAGGAAAAGAAACUAACAAGGAUUCCCCUAGUAACGGCGAGUGAAGCGGGAUGAGCUCAAAUUUGUAAUCUGGUGGACUCAGUUCAUCCGAGUUGUAAUCUAUAGAAGUGUUUUCCGCGCUGGACCGUGUCUAAGUCCCUUGGAACAGGGUGUCAGAGAGGGUGAGAAUCCCGUGCUUGAUACGAUCACCAGUGCUAUGUGAUACACUUUCAACGAGUCGAGUUGUUUGGGAAUGCAGCUCAAAAUGGGUGGUAAAUUCCAUCUAAAGCUAAAUAUUGGCGAGAGACCGAUAGCGAACAAGUACCGUGAGGGAAAGAUGAAAAGCACUUUGGAAAGAGAGUUAAACAGUACGUGAAAUUGUUAAAAGGGAAACGAUUGAAGUCAGUCGUGCUCUCUGGGACUCAGCCGGUUCUUCCGGUGUACUUCCCAGUGAGCGGGUCAACAUCAGUUUAGAUCGCUGGAUAAAGGUAUUAGGAAGGUGGCUCCCUCGGGAGUGUUAUAGCCUAGUAUCGCAUACAGUGGUUUAGACUGAGGAACGCAGCUCGCCUUUAUGGCCGGGGUUCGCCCACGUCCGAGCUUAGGAUGUUGACAUAAUGGCUUUAAACGACCCGUCUUGAAACACGGACCA
rnacentral:rRNA from 1 species